GCAGUCGCCGCGGGAAUACAGAGGGUGCGAGCGUUAAUCGGAUUUACUGGGCGUAAAGCGUGCGUAGGCGGCUUUUUAAGUCGGAUGUGAAAUCCCUGAGCUUAACUUAGGAAUUGCAUUCGAUACUGGGAAGCUAGAGUAUGGGAGAGGAUGGUAGAAUUCCAGGUGUAGCGGUGAAAUGCGUAGAGAUCUGGAGGAAUACCGAUGGCGAAGGCAGCCAUCUGGCCUAAUACUGACGCUGAGGUACGAAAGCAUGGGGAGCAAACAGGAUUAGAGACCCCCGUAGUCCCUGUCUCUUAUAC
rnacentral:rRNA from 1 species